UACGGAGGAUGCGAGCGUUAUCCGGAUUUAUUGGGUUUAAAGGGUGCGCAGGCGGAUUUUUAAGUCAGCGGUCAAAUCGUGGGGCUCAACCCCAUCCAGCCGUUGAAACUGGCGUUCUUGAGUGGGCGAGAAGUACGCGGAAUGCGUGGUGUAGCGGUGAAAUGCGUAGAUAUUAGGAGGAACACCAGUGGCGAAGGCGGCCUGCUGGACAGAAACUGACGUUGAGGCUCGAAAGCGUGGGGAGCAAACAGG
rnacentral:rRNA from 1 species